GAAACACUAGUAAAAAUGCACAUUACAUUGCCUUGUCAAGGCAAGAUUGUGGGUUGAAAUCCCACGUGUCUCG
rnacentral:tRNA from 1 species